rnacentral:rRNA from 1 species
GACGAACGCUGGCGGCGUGCUUAACACAUGCAAGUCGAGCGGUAAGGCCCUUUCGGGGGUACACGAGCGGCGAACGGGUGAGUAACACGUGGGUGGCCUGCCCUCAGCUCUGGGAUAAGCCUGGGAAACCGGGUCUAAUACCGGAUAUGACUCCAUGACGCAUGUUGUGGGGUGGAAAGCCUUGUGCGGCUGAGGAUGGGCCCGCGGCCUAUCAGCUUGUUGGUGGGGUGAUGGCCUACCAAGGCGACGACGGGUAGCCGGCCUGAGAGGGCGACCGGCCACACUGGGACUGAGACACGGCCCAGACUCCUACGGGAGGCAGCAGUGGGGAAUCUUGCGCAAGUGGGCGAAAGCCUGACGCAGCGACGCCGCGUGAGGGAUGACGGCCU